AAAGGGAAAUGAUGGAAAAGGUCACAUUAAAGUGUGAAAUGAUAAAAAUGUCACCUAGUUUUCCACUUGAUAAAAAUGUCCAUUAUGAAUUGUUAAUAAUACUAAUUUAGUCCUUAUUAGUAAUGAAUUAAUGUUAAAAAAGGUCAGUUUUAAAUUUUUCUGAUUCCCAUUAUGCCCUUAGAGUAAAAAAAAUCCUAGAGCUCAAAUCUUCUCUCUCUUGUUCUUGGCUAUUUCGGAGAGAGACCAAGGGAAGGAGCAAAAAAUUUCCAAUUCCCGUUGGAUUCCGGAAUCGGAGGGCGGCGGCGGCUCGAUUCCAGUGAAUGUGCUUUGUUGCAACCGUGAUAGUCGGCGCAUGUGCUUCUGAUUCGUCGCCGAUUGCUGAUCCCGACUUGUGGAGUGAAUUGUAAGGUUAUCUCAAUGUCUAAGAUCUCACACCAAUCAGUGGCUACGCCUACUAGCUUGGCCUCGGUGUCCACUAUUCCGGCUUGCAAGGUCAAUCAGUUGGUUCAGGUUGCACAGAAGUGCCAGAGUACAAUUGUUGAAAGUGGAUCUGAUGGGGUUUCUCAGCAGGAUCUACAAGCAAAUAGUAAUUUGUGAGUUUUUGAGGUUCUGCCAGCUGGGCGGUAGCUCGCAAAGAGUUUGGAGUUGCAGUCACUGAAUGACUUGGCUUUUCUAAAAGAUAUGUGAGGUGUUUGCAGAUAUAAGAGGUUGUGAACAACAUGAAAGAUUUGAUCGAAUUCUGCCAGGAAAACAAAGUUGGCCCAAUUGAGGACUUGCAGGUUCAUCCUCGACAUGCGAAUGCAACCAAGCUUCAGAUGCAAAGGAUGCACGAAAUGGAGCAGUUAGCAAGUGUUCAGGGCAUGCCAACUGAUAGGAACACAUUGAAUAAGCUAAUGGUAAUAACAACCAUCACAUGGCCAGGGGAGGAGGUUUGAGUGGCUCUGCACAAGCAGCUUUAGCGCUGACCAAUUACCAAAAUCUGCUGAUGAAGCAGAACUCGAUGAAUUGAAAUGCAAAUUCUUUUUUUUUAUUCUUAAAUGAGGAGCGAUUCUUAAACGAGCUCUCAUCUCAAGAUUAUAUGAGAAUUUCACUUUUUUUUUUUUUUUUUUUAUUCUUCUAGCUUCUUCGAGUUGCUUCGUAACUAGAGACUUGGUCACGCUAAUGACUUCACUGGCCAGUGACUUGAUCAGUGACCUGUGUAUAAUAAUGACAUGGUCAGUGACAUGCAAUGUGAUUUGGCCAGUAACUUGGUCAGUGACGUGUGUAUAACAGUGACAUGCAAUAUGACCUGGCCAGUGACUUGGCAAAUAACAUGUGACUGACAGUGACUUUAACAGUUACGUGAUCAGUGACAUGGUCAUGACUGUGACAUGUAACUGACCAAGUAACUGAUCAUGUAACUGACCAAGUAACUGAUCAUGUAACUGACCAUGUCACUUACAAUGUAUGUAACUGACCAAGUAAUUGAACAUGUAACUGAUCGUUGUCAUUGACA